UGAGGAAUAUUGGACAAUGGGGGCAACCCUGAUCCAGCCAUGCCGCGUGAGUGAUGAAGGCCCUAGGGUUGUAAAGCUCUUUCAACGGUGAAGAUGAUGACGGUAGCCGUAGAAGAAGCCCCGGCUAACUUCGUGCCAGCAGCCGCGGUAAUACGAAGGGGGCUAGCGUUGUCCGGAAUUACUGGGCGUAAAGGGCGCGUAGGCUGUGUGUCGCGUCAGAUGUGAAAGCCCCGGGCUCAACCUGGGAACUGCAUUUGAUACGGGCACGCUUGAGUACGAGAGAGGUGAGUGGAAUUCCCAGUGUAGAGGUGAAAUUCGUAGAUAUUGGGAAGAACACCAGUGGCGAAGGCGGCUCUCUGGUCUGUAACUGACGCUGAGGCGCGAAAGCGUGGGGAGCAAGCAGGAUUAGAUACCCCCGUAGUCC
rnacentral:rRNA from 1 species